AGUGCUGAGCCCGGCUCCCCUGACAGCCUCAGUCAUCGUCAGCGUCAGCAGCAUCUGGGCGCCCUGCCUUCUGACGUCCACUGAGCAUUUCAAGAAAGAUCUCAGCCCGUUCCUGGGUGUCUGCUUAGAACAGCUGGGGCCGGGCCGGGCGGUGGGAGGGGAGACAGGGCUUCCUCUGCAGCAGCGGCGGCUUUGGCUUCUCCAGGACAGUGUUUCCAGCUGCAGCAGCUGACCACUUCCCUUUCUAGGGCACAAGCCUGGCUCUAAGAGAAACAGAAAAAACAGAGGGGAGGGAAGCAGACUUCGCCCGCGAUGAGGAAAGUACUCUGGAUUGCCCACAGUUCUGUCUGUGCCUGGGUCCAGAGGAGACUUUCACAGCAGACAGCCCCGUGACACACCCACGUGUGAUGAUAUAGUCAUUCUAGGGGGCCUGCAUGGCCAGGGCUGGGCUUGAGGCUCGGGUGUAAGGGCGCUUGCCCAGUUUGCAUGAGCCAAGAGAAGGGCUGGAGAGGGCGUCCACGGCAGACCAAGCCAGUCCUUGUCCUGAUGUGUGCUGGGGUGGCUGGGCCUUCACACAGCACCGAGGGCAGCGGCCCUGCAGUGAGCAGCAGCGACUUGUCCCCCCUGCUGGUCACUCGUGGAAACACUUACAGCCAGCUCUGGCCCCAGCUGGGCAGGUCAGCCCUGAAGGUGACUUCCACCCUCUCUCCAGGCUGCACUCAGCCCUGAGGACACCCAGCUCAAUAAAGGAACGCUGAACUGUGGUCUUCUUCAGGCAGGGACAAAGUGUGUGAAUUUGUUGAAGUGGAGGAGGGACCUCUGGGGAGCUGCCAUCGAAGUAGACAGGAAAAACAAAGGUCAGCAAGGGAGAGUCCCUUGUCCAUGCCCCCUGGCCAUGAAGCAGCGGAGCAGGACUUGAAUUCACUCUGUCCGAACUGUGCAGGUCACUUCGGAGCAAGAAAGCUCUGCAGGCAGGGAGGUGGCACCUAAACCGCGUCUCCUGAGAUAGAAAAAGAAGAAAGGACAUCUGAAGGACGUUGGCUUCUGAAGAAGAAGAAUCUUUGUCAGGAGAGCUUCGCUCAAGUCGCAUCUUACACAGCAUUCUGAUCACAGCCAGGUCAUCUGUAUUUCCUGUGAGACUCGCGGGCAUUUCUAACCAGAGCUCAGUUUUUAGACACAGUGGUAGCUGUCCUUUGAUUUUCCCUGAUGGUGACCUUCUCCCCCUUCUGGUGAACUCAGCAGUCGCCUGAGUUCAGUCCCCGUGGUGUGAGACAGGCUGACCCACCCAGGCCAGCAGCACUCUGGCAGGAGCACUUGGCCGAGGACUUCUGCGCCAGGACUGGAGUGUGCUGCCCUGUAAUCAGAGAGCGCUGCCAUCGCUGAGAGAUCCAGACGCUUGUGCCAAGCACACACAGGCACACAAAUACAGAGACCAAACGGAAGAACACGGAGGACAUGGAGGACUCCGGAAGCACUGGCAUCGAAAUGGCCCUCGUCUGGUUCUAAGUCAGCCUGGUGUUUUCGCUGCCUCCAUCUGGAUCCUCUGCAUGUGGUCCCAGGCGCACCCGUGGGGAGUGUGGCUGCUCACGGGAGCUCACGGGCCAAGCCAGCCUCAGCUGAGAUCACUGCAGGUGGACCGGUCUCCUCUCGCACACUGUCGGUGCAAAGUGGUAGCAGGUCUCACCAAGUUGCCUGGGCUGGCCUUGAAGCUGUGAUACUCCUGUCCUGAGUGUGUCACCACGCCUGGUAGCACCAGCAUUUAGGCCGUGCCUGUCCUCAAGUCUGGUGCAUAGACUUUGACAUCAGAUCAUGCAAAUGCUGCCACUGCCUUGCACGUGCACACCAGGAAGUGCCCCGAAGACUGAUUUCUACCCACAUUCUCCUGUGUUUUAAGUCAUCUCACUUCUUUACCCAUAAAUACUUGUAAGGAGGUGUAUUUGAGACUUGGUCUCCUGCCUCCUCAUCUUU